rnacentral:rRNA from 1 species
GACGAACGCUGGCGGCGUGCUUAACACAUGCAAGUCGAACGGUGAAGGGGUCUGCUUUUGUGGGCCCUGGAUGAGUGGCGAACGGGUGAGUAACACGUGAGUAACCUGCCCCCUUCGUCUGGAUAACCGCAUGAAAGUGUGGCUAAUACGGGAUAUUCUGGGUCUGUCGCAUGAUGGGUCUGGGAAAGGUUGCGCCUUUGGGUGUUUUUGGUGGUGGAUGGGGUCGCGGCGUAUCAGCUUGUUGGUGGGGUGAUGGGCUACCAGGGAGGUGGCGGGUAGCCGGCCUGCGAGGGUGGACGGUGACAGUGGGACUGAGCAACGGGCCAGAGUCCUACGGGAGGCAGCAGUGGGGAAGAUUGCACAAUGGGAGAAAGCCUGAUGCAGCGACGCCGCGUGCGGGAUGGAGGCCUUCGGGUUGUAAACCUCUUUCGCCAGUGACGCAGGCCUGCUCCUUGUGGGUGGGUUGACGGUAGCUGGAAAAGAAGCGCCGGCUAACUACGUG